GUGAUAGCUGGUUCUCCCCGAAAUGCAUUUAGGUGCAGCGUCGGGUGUUCAGCAUCGGAGGUAGAGCACUGAAUGGGUAAGGGGGCCUACAAGCUUACCGACCCCAAUCAAACUCCGAAUGCCGAUGCUCCAGAGCCCGGCAGUGAGACCAUGGGGGAUGAGCUUCAUGGUCGAGAGGGAAACAGCCCAGACCGCCAGCUAAGGCCCCAAAUUCGAGGCUAAGUGGAAAACGAUGUGGGAUUGCAUAGACAGCCAGGAGGUUGGCUCAGAAGCAGCCACCCUUGAAAGAGUGCGUAAUAGCUCACUGGUCGAGUGGUCCUGCGCGGACAAUGUAACGGGGCUCAAGCCUCGAGCCGAAGCUGCGGAUCCCGCGCAAGCGGGGUGGUAGGGGAGCGUCGAUCGUGCCGUGAAGCGGCGGUGGGAACCGUUGUGGAGCGCGGUCGAGUGAGAAUGCUGGCAUGAGUAGCGAGAGAGGGGUGAGAAACCCCUCCGCCGAAAGCCCAAGGGUUCCUGGGGAAGGCUAAUCCGCCCAGGGUAAGUCGGGAGCUAAGGCGAGGCCGAAAGGCGUAGUCGAUGCACAACUGGUUGAUAUUCCAGUACUUCCGUGUCCGCGAUAAUUCCCAGCCAAGGGUACUAAGGGGCUGCCUUCGGGCGAACUGACAGACCUUGGGGAGGACAGCAAAGGGGGGACGCAGGAGGGUAGGUGAACCCAGGCGUUGGUUGUCCUGGGGUAAGCGUGUAGGAGGAGGACCAGGUAAAUCCGGGCCUCACAAACUCUGAGACGCGAUGCCGAACCGAUUCAGGUGAAGUCACUAAUCCCAUGCUGCCUAGAAAAGCCUCUAGCGAGCUGAUACGGAACCCGUACCCCAAACCAACUCAGGUGGGCAGGUAGAGAAUACCAAGGCGAUCGGGAGAACUAUGGUUAAGGAACUCGGCAAAAUACAUCCGUAACUUCGGGAGAAGGAUGGCCCCCUUAGGGUGACGCACCUCGCGUGCUGAGCUCGAAGGGGUCGCAGAGACCAGGGGAAAGCGACUGUUUACUAAAAACACAGGAGCGUGCGAAGUCCUAAGACGAUGUAUACGCUCUGACGCCUGCCCGGUGCCGGAAGGUUACGGGGAAGGGUUAGUCCGCAAGGGCGAAGCUCUGAACCUAAGCCCCGGUAAACGGCGGCCGUAACUAUAACGGUCGACUUUAAGGGCCGUUAUAAAACCUGGCUAUAUGCUGGAAACUCCGAGUAUCCGGCGGUACUCAUUCAUGUAACACCCUCUGCGUAGGGUGAUGCAUGAGCAGUGAAAAUCCGACCGGUGCGGACAAUCAGCAGGAAACUGCAAGUUCAAGGCUUCAAGCUCGAUCCCAGUGGGUGGUGGGUUUCGUCGAUGGAGAAGGUUGCUUCUCCGUGUCGACCCACGCACAUCCCGGUGUGCCGAAGGGUUCGAGCGUGCGGUUCGUCUGGCCUACGCGAUGAACGCGAAUGGCAAGCAACGAUCGCGGAGUCUUGAGAUAGUGCUUGCAGGAUCCUCAGAGACUGCACGCCAGGCACCGCUCAUCAUCACGAGCGAUUGAAGAUACAGUCCGACCCUCAUGGCGACAUGGGGAGCCAAGCAGAAAUGACUUGGCCUCGAGCCGAUGGAUUAAGGAUCCGCCGGCACGAGUAACAAGAGUGCCUAAGGUAGCGAAAUUCCUUGUCGGGUAAGUUCCGACCUGCACGAAUGGCGUAACGACUUUCCUACUGUCUCAACCAUAGACCCGGCGAAAUUGAAGUACGAGUAAAGAUGCUCGUUAGCUGCAUCAGGACGGAAAGACCCCGUGGACCUUUACUACAGCUUGAUGUUGUGUUUUGGUACGGAUUGUGUAGAGCUAGGUGGGAGGCUAGGAAGCUCGGGCGCUAGCUCGGGUGGAGCCAAAAGGUGAAAUACCACCCUGUUCGUGCUGGGACUCUAACCCAGACCCUUCUAUCAGGGCCGGGGACAGCGUCAGGUGGGUAGUUUGACUGGGGCGGUCGCCUCCCAAAGAGUAACGGAGGCGCCCAAAGGUCGACUCAGGUUGGUCGGAAAUCAACCGUAAGAGUGCAUAGGCAGAAGUCGGCUUAACUGCGAGACGUACAUGUCGAGCA
rnacentral:rRNA from 1 species